rnacentral:rRNA from 1 species
GGCAGACGGCUCAGUAACGCGUAGUCAACCUAACCUAUGGACGGGAAUAACCUCGGGAAACUGAGUAUAAUGCCCGAUAGAACAUUAUGCCUGGAAUGGUUUAUGUUCCAAAUGAUUUAUCGCCGUAGGAUGGGACUGCGGCCUAUCAGUUUGUUGGUGAGGUAGAUGGCCCACCAAGACUAUUACAGGUACGGGCUCUGAGAGGAGUAGCCCGGAGAUGGGUACUGAGACACGGACCCAGGCCCUAUAGGGCGCAGCAGGCGAGAAAACUUUGCAACGUGCGAAAGCACGACAAGGUUAAUCCGAGUGGUUUCUGCUAAAGGAACCUUUUGUCGGUCCUAGAAACACCGAUGAAUAAGGGGUGGGCAAGUUCUGGUGUCAGCCGCCGCGGUAAAACCAGCACCUCAAGUGGUCAGGAUGAUUAUUGGGCCUAAAGCAUCCGUAGCCGGCUCUGUAAGUUUUCGGUUAAAUCUGUAUGCUCAACAUACAGGCUGCCGGGAAUACUGCAGAGCUAGGGAGUGGGAGAGGUAGACGGUACUCGGUAGGAAGGGGUAAAAUCCUUUGAUCUAUUGAUGACCACCUGUGGCGAAGGCGGUCUACCAGAACACGUCCGACGGUGAGGGAUGAAAGCUGGGGGAGCAAACCGGAUUAGAUACCCGGGUAGUCCCAGCUGUAAACUAUGCAAACUCAGUGAUGCAUUGGCUUGUGGCCAAUGCAGUGCUGCAGGAAGCCGUUAAGUUUGCCGCCUGGGAAGUACGUACGCAAGUAUGAAACUUAAAGGAAUUGGCGGGGGAGCACCACAAGGGGUGAAGCCUGCGGUUCAUUGGAGU